CAUUAAUUUUCAUGAACCCCUAAUCUAUAAUGAAUGACUCCAUAUUUAUAUGGAAGACACCAUGCUAGGAUUAGUAACAAGAAUUUAUAAUUCUCCAAAAUGCAAAUAUAAACCAACAUGGAUGGACCAUUGGUAGUUACCGAACCUAAAUUCAAUGCAACAACACCUACAAGAAAACUCUGCAGUACUUACUCGUUAACCUAACACCAGCGCAUUACAGGAAAGAUUUAAAAAAAGAGAAGGAAUUCGGCAAAUGACGGCCCCGCCUGUUUACCAAAAACAUCGCCUCUUGACUUAUAAUAAGAGGUCCAGCCUGCCCAGUGAAUUUUAAACGGCCGCGGUAUCCUAACCGCGCGAAGGUAGCAUAAUCACUUGUUCUUUAAAUGGGGACUCGUAUCAACGGCAUCACGAGGGUUUUACUGUCUCCUCUUUUUGAUCAGUGAAAUUGAUCUUCCCGUGAAGAAGCGGGAAUAAAUUUAUAAGACGAGAAGACCCCAUGGAGCUUUAAACCAAAUAACAACUUAACCACUUAUCCCAUAAUAAAUUUAAGCCCUGUUAUAAGGUUUUUGGUUGGGGUGACCGCGGAGUAAAACACAUCCUCCACGACGAAAAAACAGAAUCUUUAUUUAAGAACCACACUUCUAGAAAUUAGUAUACUAACGUUUACUGACCCGACAAUCGAUCAACGGACCAAGUUACCCUGGGGAUAACAGCGCAAUCUACUUCAAGAGCUCAUAUCGACAAGUAGGCUUACGACCUCGAUGUUGGAUCAGGGUAUCCCGGUGGUGCAGCCGCUACCGAAGGUUCGUUUGUUCAACGAUUAAAACCCUACGUGAUCUGAU
rnacentral:rRNA from 1 species